CGCCCCAAUCCGCGCAUGCGCCAUGGCGCAUUUGGGGACGCGCCGCCGGAGGAGUGAAAAGCAAGAAAAAGGAAACGCGUUCGAAGGGCGAGCGGCUAUGCGGCCGCGGCGAAGUCCACGCCAGUCAGGCCAGCGGUUUCGCUCGCCCGUGGUCCGCGCGUCGCCUCGUCUUCUCCGCGUCGCAACGUGAUGCUCGCCGCGCUCGGCCGCGUCUUUCCCACGGAGGGAACGUCACCCACGGCGGCGUGAAUCGGAUCCCUCGCUCCCUUGAACGGUUCACCUUCCUCUCUUCGGAUUAAAACUGCAUUUGCGAGAAGCCCGGGCUCAUCAGUUGUAAAAACCCCAGAGGACAGACUCACUGGAAAUGACCGAGAGAAAAGCAUGGUGCCUUAGGCUUCUACCAGUUCUCUUCUUCUUUAUCUCCUUUGUUACAUACUACUGUUCCUAUGCCAUACUGCAGAGCUACGCCGGCACCAGCAAGUCUGUCAACAGUAGCAAGUCUCUGUGUGGUGGCUGGCUGACGCAGAAGAAGUGGGAGAGCCUCAACUUUAACAUUACCAGGCAGAUGCAACUCUUUCUAAAACUGGAUGAUUUCUUCUGGCGAGAACAUCUGUCAACGUUGGGGCUACCUUACGGCAUUAAGGGCAGUGAACUGCAGCUGCUGAAAGUACUUGCGGUAACAGCAAAUUAUCAAGUCCCGGCCAACAUAGACAACCUUGAAUGCAGAACCUGCGUUGUCAUAGGCAAUGGCUUUGCGAUUAAAAACACAUCAUUAGGAGGCAUCAUUAACAAAUACGAUGUGGUCAUUCGAUUGAACGACGCUCCGGUGAGGGGCUACGAGGAUGACGUUGGUAACAAGACCACCAUGAGGUUUUUCUACCCAGAGUCUGCCUCCUAUAACCCAGGCUUGAACAACGAGCCUGAUACACUGAUGGUCUUGGUACCUUUUAAACAGCAAGAUCUACGGUGGCUCAAAGAGAUCCUCUACAACGAGAAGAGGGUCAGGAAAGGCUUUUGGAAGCCCCCUCCCCAAAUCUGGUUGGGUGAUGUCGCUCAAAUCCGAGUGCUGGACCCGUACUUUUUGCAACAGACGGCAGAAAAACUGCUUCAAAUCCCCCUGAACCCCAAGAGUAAGCAGGAAAAGGCAUGUCAUAUUUUCGAAACUUUGAAAAAGCAGAAAGGCAACGAAGCAAAGAAGGAGGAAUUGACCGCCAGCAAUGUCUGCUUUGAGAGAGUCGGUGCCUGUGGCAAUCUUCAGAAUGUCAAGGUCCAAGCCGGUGCAUCCGACCACGGGAAUCCUCGCCGUCUUCGUGGCCCUCAAUUACUGCGACGUCGUCCACCUCGCUGGUUUCGGGUACCCGAACUCUCGGAACAUCAAGCACCCGAUCCAUUACUAUGGCUACGACACGAUGAAAUCAAUGAAGAAUUCUUACCAUGACCUCAAUCACGAAGCCGAAGCCUUAAAAAGACUGGAGGAGUCGGGGGCCAUCUUGUACCUGCACCCGCAUUUAUGAUCCACGAGGAAGCUGCAGCCUUUUGCACCUGUGAACCUGCUCUCAGUGUGCAAAUACACUCCCACGUCCUCUCUCCUUCUCGUCUGCUUGUAAUGUUGAGCCUUGAAUAAUGACAAUUGAAAACAAUAGAACCACUCGAGGGUGGUUUCAUAAUGCUUCCAAUUAUUUCAUUAUUUUUUUUUUGCUGAUAUCCGCUAAAAAAAAAGGUUCUCAUUUUGGAUGCCAACAUUCCACCGACCCUGAAGAAGAAAGUGGCAUAAACCAACGAAGAAGAACGCGCACGAAGACGUGUUUAUGUCCAGCGGCGACUGCGAACAAGGUAUUCGGGACUGGAUUCGCUCAAAUUCGAACGGUGCCCAACUCUUAUGACCGUGAUAGGAGGAUUGACUGCCGUAGGAGGAUUGGACACAGAACUCUUUCAAGUAAUGGAGCUGAUCGCCGUUGUUCUGAUUGCCUCCAGUUGAAGCAUUUUGAACGGAUCUGGACAUGCAAGUCAAAACCAGAAGGUAGGAAAGAGGUGUAAGAGUGAUGACAGAGGUCACGACUGGGAUCCACAUGCUGCUUUCAAGGUCAAGAGGCAAUCCCUUUUCCCAUCAGUGGAAGUGGAAAAUCUAAAAACCUCUCAAGUUCGCAAGGCAAGUCUUUAUACAGUACUUUGACGUGGAUAUAUGCAGUUAAUGAAGACUGUUCUGAUAUAAAAAUAUGUCUGUGGGACUCAAUGACAUACAGCAGAACUGUAUAUUUAUGAAUGUAUAGGGGAAUGGUGUUGAACACAUAAUAGCUGCGAUUUAUAGUUAUUAGUUAGUUAUUUAUAGUUAUUUUAUCCCCAAUAGUGGCAUACAAGCUCAUAAAUUAAAGAAAAAACAUGUCAGUAUCUUCACCCUCAUUGUGAGCCUUUUAAUCAUUAUAUACAAUAAUUUCUUGGAAUGUAUUACGUAAAUAUGAAAAUAUAUCACAUUCUAUGGUU